rfam:Beta vulgaris subsp. vulgaris Bvchr9.sca025.con0119.1, whole genome shotgun sequence.
AUACUUACCUGGACGGGGUCUAUGAGCGAUCAAUAAGGCUCAUGGCCUAGGGUGAUGGCUUUCAUUGCACUUAGGAAGAGCAUCAGCCUAAGAUCUCCCCAAGUGGGAGAGUCUACGUCAUAAUUUGUGAUAGAGGGGGCCUGCGUUCGCGCGGCCCCUGU